GCCCAGUUCACUGUUGCCUCGCGUUAUUCCAUCAUCCAUAUUUCUGCUCUUAGUUGCUUUAUAAUGUGUCAGCAGUAAUCAGCCCUGCUGUAUUAUAUAUUGUGCUUGAUUGUUGAUACCUAAUUAAUUAACUGUUUACGAUGGCAGUUAUGGUGGAUGAUGAUUAAUCACUCUACAAUCGCCUGUCACGUGACUUCUUCAACCCGUUCUGUAGAUGGCCCUAAACAACUAUUCGAAACCCGGAAACCAUAACCCUCUAAUCAGAUCCCAACCCUAACGGCCUAACCCUAACCAAAUCCUUUACAAAAGCAUAUACUGAAACACUAUAGAGAAAUUAGGCUAACUUCCUUAUACGGUCAUAUCACGUGAUCGAGACAGUUUUUCGCCAAUAUCUCGUUAGGGGAGAAUUUUAACCUUAUGUCAUGGGGGUAAUAGCAAAUUUUAGUUAAAGAGUAAAUCAAAGUUAGCAAUCAUUGAACUCAAUAGUUAAAAAGGAGAAGCUAAAAGCGCUGAAAGACCAAGAAGAAUCUCCCGCAGGAGCUGUUGAAUCAGCACGCUGAAGAAGUACAGAGACUGGUGAACAAGCUGAUAAACUCAGACAGCAGCAAAAACUUCAAGAUCUAAAAUAGGCCCGGGCUUUUUUAAAAGUUACUGAAAUGACGCUGGUCCUCACUUUUUGGAGUCUACUCCCUCAUUUCCAGGCUGAACAGGAAGCUGUACAACAACCGGUCUGACAAGUUACAAGUGGUGGACCUACAUCAUCUAGAUGUACAGGUUCGUUCAUUUACUGAUUGAUAGCUAUUUUAAUGAACUUAUUUGUUUAGAUUUAUGACGUGUUUCUCAAUUGACAAUUUUAUACCCUCGAGAUAAUACAAAAUUCUAUGAAGGAUACAUUUUUAAUGUUCAAUUACAUAAAUGACAAACUUAAGUUGACUAAA